AUUGAACGCUGGCGGCAGGCCUAACACAUGCAAGUCGAGCGAGCGGCGGACGGGUGAGUAAUGUCUGGGAAACUGCCUGAUGGAGGGGGAUAACUACUGGAAACGGUAGCUAAUACCGCAUACUAUCAGAUGUGCCCAGAUGGGAUUAGCUAGGAGGGGGGGUAACGGCCCACCGGGGCGACGAUCCCUAGCUGGUCUGAGAGGAUGACCAGCCACACUGGAACUGAGACACGGUGCAGACUCCUACGGGAGGCAGCGGUGGGAAAGAUUGCACAAUGGGCGCAAGCCUGAUGCAGCCAUGCGGCGUGUGUGAAGAAGGCCUUCGGGUUGUAAAGCGCUUUCAGCGGGGAGGCGUUACCCGCAGAAGAAGCACCGGCUAACUCCGUGCCAGCAGCCGCGGUAAUAC
rnacentral:rRNA from 1 species